AUACAGGGGGUGCGAGCGUUAAUCGGAAUUACUGGGCGUAAAGAGUACGUAGGCGGUUGCUUAAGUCAGAUGUGAAAGCCCCGGGCUCAACCUGGGAACUGCAUUUGAAACUGAGUGACUAGAGUUUAAGAGAGGGGAGUAGAAUUCCGGGUGUAGCGGUGAAAUGCGUACAGAUCCGGAGGAAUACCAGUGGCGAAGGCGGCUCCCUGGCUUAAAACUGACGCUGAGGUACGAAAGCGUGGGUAGCAAACAGGAUUAGAUACCCUAGUAGUCC
rnacentral:rRNA from 1 species